GGCGGAGCCUCCUGGCGAAGGGACAGCGGGGCCUGGCGGGGGCGGCACUAACGGGCCAAGGAACGGCCGUGAACCGCCGCCUGAGGGGAGCGGCCGGGCCCCUCACCUUCCUCUCGCGGCUCUUGCGCUCCUCUCGGCGCCUCUCGAACUCCUCGAAGGAGAUUUUCCCCUCCAGAUAAUUAUAUCUGGCACAAGGAUCUCCAAGAUAAGCUAGAUAUGGUGCAAUUUCCUGGUGCUGGAAGAUAGCAAGAUUGCAUCUGGGGAUACUAGAGUGGAUGAUUCCAAGGUAUUCUAGACAAAGAUUCUAACAAGGACUACACUCUUUAACUUGUUCUUAUUCAGUAAUAUCAAUUCAAAACUGCUGUGACAUUUGAUUGUAGUUCUCAUAUAUUUUUCUCCUUACAGUUUAAAGAACAUUUUAGUUACAGCAGUUGCACUAAACUGUCAUUUUUCAAGAUGGGAAUCUUGGUCAUUCUUUUAGCACCAGCCCAUUGUUAUUAAUAAUAAAUAUUUGUAUAAAA